AGUACAAGCCAAAUUAAGGUGAAACCGCAAAAGGCUCAUUAAAUCAGUUAUGGUUCCUUAGAUCGUACCCACAUUUACUUGGAUAACUGUGGUAAUUCUAGAGCUAAUACAUGCAAACAGAGCUCCGACCGGAGACGGAAGGAGUGCUUUUAUUAGAUCAAAACCGAUCGGCGGCGGGCUCGCCCGUCGUCGUACUAUUGAUGACUCUGAAUAACUUGUUGCUGAUCGCACGGUCCAGCACCGGCGACGCAUCUUUCAAAUGUCUGCCUUAUCAACUGUCGAUGGUAGGUUCUGCGCCUACCAUGGUUGUAACGGGUAACGGGGAAUCAGGGUUCGAUUCCGGAGAGGGAGCCUGAGAAACGGCUACCACAUCCAAGGAAGGCAGCAGGCGCGCAAAUUACCCACUCCCGGCACGGGGAGGUAGUGACGAAAAAUAACGAUACGGGACUCAUCCGAGGCCCCGUAAUCGGAAUGAGUACACUUUAAAUCCUUUAACGAGGAUCAAUUGGAGGGCAAGUCUGGUGCCAGCAGCCGCGGUAAUUCCAGCUCCAAUAGCGUAUAUUAAAGUUGUUGCGGUUAAAAAGCUCGUAGUCGAAUUUGUGUCCCGCGCCGCCGGUUCAUCGCUCGCGGUGUAAACUGGCGUGCCGCGGGACGUCCUGCCGGUGGGUGUCUGCCCCUUCUCCGACAAGGAGCUUGGGGUAAGGCCCAACCAAACUCCCAUGCCGGUGCUCUUCGCUGAGUGUCGGGAUGGGCCGGCACAUUUACUUUGAACAAAUUASAGUGCUUAAAGCAGGCUCAAAGCUCGCCUGAAUACAUUUUGCAUGGAAUAAUGGAAUAGGACCUCGGUUCUAUUUUGUUGGUUUUCGGAACCCCGAGGUAAUGAUUAAUAGGAACGGAUGGGGGCAUUCGUAUUGCGACGUUAGAGGUGAAAUUCUUGGAUCGUCGCAAGACGGACAGAAGCGAAAGCAUUUGCCAAAAACGUUUUCAUUGAUCAAGAACGAAAGUUAGAGGUUCGAAGGCGAUCAGAUACCGCCCUAGUUCUAACCAUAAACGAUGCCAGCUAGCGAUACGUCGAUGUUCCUCCGAUGACUCGACGGGCAGCUUCCGGGAAACCAAAGCUUUUGGGUUCCGGGGGAAGUAUGGUUGCAAAGCUGAAACUUAAAGGAAUUGACGGAAGGGCACCACCAGGAGUGGAGCCUGCGGCUUAAUUUGACUCAACACGGGAAACCUCACCAGGCCCGGACACCGGAAGGAUUGACAGAUUGAGAGCUCUUUCUUGAUUCGGUGGGUGGUGGUGCAUGGCCGUUCUUAGUUGGUGGAGCGAUUUGUCUGGUUAAUUCCGAUAACGAACGAGACUCUAGCCUGCUAAAUAGGCGUACUUUCGACAUCUCAAAGGCCCCACGGCCCGGCGUUUUCGCGCCGGUGUCGCGCGCGGUUUUUACUGUCGGCGUACAAUAAAUUCUUCUUAGAGGGACAGGCGGCGUCUAGCCGCACGAGAUUGAGCAAUAACAGGUCUGUGAUGCCCUUAGAUGUUCUGGGCCGCACGCGCGCUACACUGAAGGAAUCAGCGUGUCCUCCCUGCCCGAGAGGGCCGGGUAACCCGCUGAACCUCCUUCGUGCUAGGGAUUGGGGCUUGCAAUUGUUCCCCAUGAACGAGGAAUUCCCAGUAAGCGCGAGUCAUAAGCUCGCGUUGAUUACGUCCCUGCCCUUUGUACACACCGCCCGUCGCUACUACCGAUUGAAUGAUUUAGUGAGGUCUUCGGACCGGUACGCGGCGAUGCUCCGCUUCGCCGAUG
rnacentral:rRNA from 1 species